rnacentral:rRNA from 1 species
AUUGAACGCUGGCGGCAUGCCUUACACAUGCAAGUCGAACGGUAACGGGCCUUCGGGUGCCGACGAGUGGCGAACGUGUGAGUAAUGCAUCGGAACGUACCUUUCAGUGGGGGAUAACGUAGCGAAAGUUACGCUAAUACCGCAUAUUCUGUGAGCAGGAAAGCAGGGGAUCGCAAGACCUUGCGCUGAUUGAGCGGCCGAUGUCAGAUUAGCUAGUUGGUGAGGUAAAGGCUCACCAAGGCGACGAUCUGUAGCGGGUCUGCGAGGAUGAUCCGCCACACUGGGACUGAGACACGGCCCAGACUCCUACGGGAGGCAGCAGUGGGGAAUUUUGGACAAUGGGGGCAACCCUGAUCCAGCCAUGCCGCGUGAGUGAAGAAGGCCUUCGGGUUGUAAAGCUCUUUCGGCCGGGAAGAAAUCGCACAGGCUAAUACCUUGUGUAGAUGACGGUACCGGAAUAAGAAGCACCGGCUAACUACGUGCCAGCAGCCGCGGUAAUAC